AGUAAAAGACGAAGGAUUCGAACGUAGGUCGAGAAAGACACCGUCUGCUGAGUUAACAGACGUUCGGUCUAUUUAUUUCUGAAUUGGGUGUAGGUUGACAAGAAAAUGUGGUUUGAGAUUCUCCCCAGUGUGGCCAUUAUUACAGGAUUGCUGGGUGUACCAGCCCUAGCCAUGGCUGGUUUACAUAAACUCGCCUAUGGGAAUUUUUAUCAGAGAGAGUUGAGUCGCAGGAACCAACGUGGCUUUUUCCUCAGAGAUGAGCGACUCAGUGGCUAUGGAUACAGGAGUGUUGGGUUGGAGAAUAUUCCAGAUGAAGCUGCCGAGUAGACAGUUGAUUGUUUAGCUGUGGAUCAGAUUGGUGUAAAUAUACAAUGUUAAUUUAAUCUUCUGUAUUAAAUUUUUCUUAAUAAAUUAGUUUUUAAAAA